rfam:Picea glauca, whole genome shotgun sequence.
AUGUAAUGUAAUGCCUACAAUGUUAAUGCAUCAGAUCCCAUUAGAACUCAACAACUAAGCGUGCUUGGGUAGAGUAGUACUGGGAUGAUUGUCCUGUCAAGAAGUCCUGGUGUUUUACAUG